rnacentral:rRNA from 1 species
AUUGAACGCUGGCGGCAGGCCUAACACAUGCAAGUCGAACGGUAGCACAGAGAGCUUGCUCUCGGGUGACGAGUGGCGGACGGGUGAGUAAUGUCUGGGAAACUGCCCGAUGGAGGGGGAUAACUACUGGAAACGGUAGCUAAUACCGCAUAACGUCGCAAGACCAAAGUGGGGGACCUUCGGGCCUCACACCAUCGGAUGUGCCCAGAUGGGAUUAGCUAGUAGGUGGGGUAAUGGCUCCCCUAGGCGACGAUCCCUAGCUGGUCUGAGAGGAUGACCAGCCACACUGGAACUGAGACACGGUCCAGACGCCUACGGGAGGCAGCAGUGGGGAAUAUUGCACAAUGGGCGCAAGCCUGAUGCAGCCAUGCCGCGUGUAUGAAGAAGGCCUUCGGGUUGUAAAGUACUUUCAGCGGGGAGGAAGGCGGUGAAGUUAAUAGCUUCACCGAUUGACGUUACCCGCAGAAGAAGCACCGGCUAACUCCGUGCCAGCAGCCGCAGUAA